CAGCAGUAGCCACGGUAAUACGUAGGUGGCAAGCGUUGUCCGGAAUUAUUGGGCGUAAAGGGCUCGCAGGCGGUUUCUUAAGUCUGAUGUGAAAGCCCCCGGCUCAACCGGGGAGGGUCAUUGGAAACUGGGAAACUUGAGUGCAGAAGAGGAGAGUGGAAUUCUACGUGUAGCGGUGAAAUGCGUAGAGAUGUGGAGGGACACCAGUGGCGAAGGCGACUCUCUGGUCUGUAACUGACGCUGAGGAGCGAAAGCGUGGGGAGCGAACAGGAUUAGAUACCCCUGUAGUCCCUGUCUCUUAUAC
rnacentral:rRNA from 1 species